rnacentral:piRNA from 1 species
UGGGCAUCUCAAACUCAAAGUUCAGCCUGA